ACCGAAUAGGGGAGCCGUAGGGAAACCGAGUCUUAACCGGGCGUUAAGUUGCAGGGUAUAGACCCGAAACCCGGUGAUCUAGCCAUGGGCAGGUUGAAGGUUGGGUAACACUAACUGGAGGACCGAACCGACUAAUGUUGAAAAAUUAGCGGAUGACCUGUGGCUGGGGGUGAAAGGCCAAUCAAACCGGGAGAUAGCUGGUUCUCCCCGAAAGCUAUUUAGGUAGCGCCUCGUGAAUUCAUCUCCGGGGGUAGAGCACUGUUUCGGCUAGGGGGCCAUCCCGGCUUACCAACCCGAUGCAAACUGCGAAUACCGGAGAAUGUUAUCACGGGAGACACACGGCGGGUGCUAACGUCCGUCGUGAAGAGGGAAACAACCCAGACCGCCAGCUAAGGUCCCAAAGUCAUGGUUAAGUGGGAAACGAUGUGGGAAGGCCCAGACAGCCAGGAUGUUGGCUUAGAAGCAGCCAUCAUUUAAAGAAAGCGUAAUAGCUCACUGGUCGAGUCGGCCUGCGCGGAAGAUGUAACGGGGCUAAACCAUGCACCGAAGCUGCGGCAGCGACACUGUGUGUUGUUGGGUAGGGGAGCGUUCUGUAAGCCUGUGAAGGUGUGUCGUGAGGCAUGCUGGAGGUAUCAGAAGUGCGAAUGCUGACAUAAGUAACGAUAAAGCGGGUGAAAAGCCCGCUCGCCGGAAGACCAAGGGUUCCUGUCCAACGUUAAUCGGGGCAGGGUGAGUCGACCCCUAAGGCGAGGCCGAAAGGCGUAGUCGAUGGGAAACGGGUUAAUAUUCCCGUACUUGGUGUUACUGCGAAGGGGGGACGGAGAAGGCUAUGUUGGCCGGGCGACGGUUGUCCCGGUUUAAGCGUGUAGGUGUGUGUUCCAGGUAAAUCCGGUU
rnacentral:rRNA from 1 species